rfam:Salmo salar isolate Sally breed double haploid chromosome ssa12, whole genome shotgun sequence.
UCCACUCACUACUGUAAAUCGCUCUGGAUAAGAGCAUCUGCCAAAUGACAGAAA